rnacentral:lncRNA from 1 species
CUCAAACGAGGUGUGGGAAUUAUAACAGUAAAAAGUUAAGAGAUCGGGAAUUUGUAAACAUCUGCAAGGAUUCUGGCUCAUAUUGCUUCUCAAGUAUCCUAAUUCUCAUACUGUUAUUAAAAACAAACCCACAAAAAAACGAAAGAGAAAUUGGCCAGUGCUGGGAUUACAGGCAUGAGCCACUGCGCCUGGCUUCUUCUCUUCCUAAAAGGACACCAGUCAUAGUGGAUCAGGGCCGACCCUAAUCAAAUAUGACCUCAUGUUAACUUGAUUACAUUUGCAAAAACUUUAUUUCCAAAUAAGGCCACAUUCACAGGUGUUGGGGGUUAGGUUUCAGCGUGUCUUUUGGGGGGACACAAGUCAAUCCCUAACAAUGCCCAGCCAAAGCAGUGUGCAGAGCAGAAGCUUGCUUGGCUCCUGUGAGGCCACACCCAGUGUGCUGAGUGUUGGGAUUGAAAGGCCAGACUCCAUCACCUCAGGUAGGGCC